GACGAACGCUGGCGGCGUGCCUAAUACAUGCAAGUAGAACGCUGAAGCGAGGAGCUUGCUCUUCUUGGAUGAGUUGCGAACGGGUGAGUAACGCGUAGGUAACCUGCCUUGUAGCGGGGGAUAACUAUUGGAAACGAUAGCUAAUACCGCAUAACAAUGGAUGACACAUGUCAUUUAUUUGAAAGGGGCAAUUGCUCCACUACAAGAUGGACCUGCGUUGUAUUAGCUAGUAGGUGAGGUAAUGGCUCACCUAGGCGACGAUACAUAGCCGACCUGAGAGGGUGAUCGGCCACACUGGGACUGAGACACGGCCCAGACUCCUACGGGAGGCAGCAGUAGGGAAUCUUCGGCAAUGGGGGCAACCCUGACCGAGCAACGCCGCGUGAGUGAAGAAGGGUUUCGGAUCGGAAAGCUCUGUUGUAAGUCAAGAACGGGUGUGAGAGUGGAAAGUUCACACUGUGACGGUAGCUUACCAGAAAGGGACGGCUAACUACGUG
rnacentral:rRNA from 1 species